rnacentral:rRNA from 1 species
UACGGGGGGAGCAAGCGUUGUUCGGAUUACUGGGCGUAAAGGGCUUGUAGGUGGCCAACUAAGUCAGACGUGAAAUCCCUCGGCUUAACCGGGAACUGCGUCUGAUACUGGAUGGCUCGAGUGUGGGAGAGGGAUGCGGAAUUCCAGGUGUAGCGGUGAAAUGCGUAGAUAUCUGGAGGAACACCGGUGGCGAAGGCGGCAUCCUGGACCAUAACUGACACUGAUAAGCGAAAGCCAGGGAGCAAACGGG